rnacentral:rRNA from 1 species
AGAGUGAACGCUGGCGGUAGGCCUAACACAUGCAAGUCGAACGGCAGCACAGUAGGAGCUUGCUCUUACGGGUGGCGAGUGGCGGACGGGUGAGGAAUACAUCGGAAUCUACCUUUUGGUGGGGGGAUAACGUAGGGAAACUUACGCUAAUACCGCAUACGCCCUUCGGGGGAAAGCCGGGGACCAGCAAUGGCCUGGUGCUGAUAGAUGAGCCGAUGUCGGAUUAGCUAGUUGGUGAGGUAAUGGCUCACCAAGGCGACGAUCCGUAGCUGGUCUGAGAGGAUGAUCAGCCACACUGGAACUGAGACACGGUCCAGACUCCUACGGGGAGGCAGCAGGUGGGGAAUAGUUGGACAAUGGGGCGC